CAUGGCCUGGCCCCUGGCCCAGGAUGGUUGCUUGGUAAAUACCAGCCACACUGUGCCAAGUGAAGGUUUCAUGGGUCCCUCAAAAGUCACCCAGCUGUUGGGCAAACUUCCUUGGAAAUGUGGGAAGAAAUUCUGCAGAGCGAAGAAAAGGGGUAAAAAAAAAAAAAGGCAGCAAACCACUUGCUAGAGCAAAAUAUUCCAAUGAAGGAAGGGGCUGCUCACAAAUGUUCAGGAGGGAGCGACUAUUCACAAAGAUGGGCGGAGGGUCCCUUUAGUGACUAGCUGGAGCCUGUUCAGGCAAGCAUGAUCUGCGGUGAAAACCAUCCAUCCCCACCCGUGGGGCACCUGUAAUGUCCAUUUCCUGCUGGGUGGUGGCCGGGUCAAGGGGGGUCUAGCUGGGCCCCCUGUCCCUCUGCCGCCGCAGCCCGGCACGGGGAAGGCCAGCCCCUGGCACUCCUGGGACACACAGGUGGCUCCCUCACUCCUCUGCGCGGCGGCUGUUUACAGACUUACAAACGACUUACAGACCAGCGAGCAGUUUUUGAGCGCCAGCUCUUUGUUCCCUGCUGCCUCUCUGUAUAGAUGCAGUUUCUGGCAAAUUAAAGACCCUUAAAUAAUUGGCAAAUCACCGAGAAGGCAGACGCACAAAGAAGAACUCAUCACACAAGGCCAAGUGCCAAAGUGCAAACACAUCCGUGUGGUGCUCCGGGGCGGCGGUGAUGGCUGGGUGCUGGGUGCUGGGUGCUGGGCGCUGGACCCCGGCCCGCAUCUCCUGUCGCCUCCUGCAGCUGUGUGACCCUGCACAGGAGCUCACCCGGGCGCGUCCCCCAUCUCUUAAUUAUAUGUGUGGUCACAGCACCCACAUGUGUCCUGGGGAAGCUGGGAGUGCGAAGGAGACUGGCUUUGCAAGUGUUCUGGAAACUAACCCCACGUAAGCAAGAGCGGUAGCGUCCAGGGCCAGGUCUCGCCAGGUCCGUGGAGCUGCCGUGUGCGAUUCAGAUGGAGCCCAGGACCCCGGGCGCCCCGUGUCCCUUCCAUCUGCAGCCACCAUGUCCCUCCCACGGGCGGCUGGGCCCAGGAUAGGGAAGAACAGCCGCUCUGUGGACGAGCACGGGCUGCACACCUGGCCGCCCCGUGCUCCCAUCAUGACGGCCACACAGCCAGCACGGCCCUUGAGCCACGUCCCUGCUUGUCCCUUACAGGCGGGGUCCCCCACACCUGCCUAGCGUCUGCCUCUGAGCUGACCCCCUGCAGAUGGCCUCCCGGAACCAAGUCUCCUCCUGGACUCUUCGGCCGUGCCCACACCCUGACCGCGGGCCAGGCACUGUGCCGCCCGUGCCCCCUGCUUCGCUGGCUCCCACCAGAAGGCAGCCUGGGGGGUUGGUGACUGGCAAGUCCGGGCCUUACAGGGUGGACGCUGGGGUCGGCUCCACACCCAUUCCCAGACCCAGGCCACACUGUCCACUCUACUGCCCUCACCACUCCUGGUCCUGGGGAUCAUCAGUUCCCCAGGAGGUCUAACGGAGACCUCUCAGGCCGUGUGCAUCCCGUCGGGUGAUGCCUCCGUGGUCACCAGUGACCAUGUCCUGGAUCCCCGAAGCCUCACAGCCUCUCCUUCAGGGAAGCACUUGAUGCCACUGCUUGCCUCCCCCGGACCACAGACCCCCCGGCCUCCCUGGCUCUGAGGGCUCUGUCGCGGGGCCACAGCCCUGAGGACGUGGCCAGCUACAGCGGGUGUCUGGUCUCAGCCUCGGUCUCCAGCCCUGAAGUCACAUCUCCGAUCCUCGGUCAAGUCGGUCAUCACAUUCGGGUUUCCCCGCCAUGGGUUCCCGCCGCCUGGUGCGGCUCGAGUCCACACCCUCACCCAGUUGCAGGGAUGACCCCGUAGAUGCCGGGCCCUCUCGUCACGUUGUCGCCUGUGAUGUCAUCAUACCAUUUCCACCGCGGAGUCGCCGGCUCGAGAACCCAGGAUGCUGACGCCCCCUCACGUCUGAGCAGCGGUGCCUGUCUCUUCCCCUGUUCCUCCUGCGUGACUGGAUCGGGAAAUGGGGGAAGAAAUGCAGCGACGUGUCAGCCGUGUGGUGGGCGGCAGAGGGGCACCUGGCUUUCUUCCUGCAGCCAACUGCAUGGCCCGAGCAGCGCUCUUGCUCCUAAAGCAUCGUGAACACCCAGGGCGCUGCCCCUCUGCGCGCCGACUGUUUACGGAGCUGACCCCACGCAAGCCUCUCUGUAGGUUGCUACUGUCCCUUACGAAAAGUCACCGCUGUCUCUGCAGGCCAAGGCCCGUGGGUUCAACUCAGUUUUUUGGAUGGAUGCGCGGUGUUUCCCAGAAUGUGUGUCCUAUAAUUUAUCCAGCCGUCCCUGUGUGUUCCCCCACUAACGGGUACGGAGGUUGUUUUAUUUCACUUGAUCGUUUUAUUCCGCUAUAAAAAGAAGUGCAAUAAAUAUCACACACAUCGUUGUGUGUAUUUCCAUAAGACGGUUUUCUGAGCAGAUAUUUUCAGGACUUCUGGAAGAUGCACAAAUCCAUGCACUUUUCAGCGAGCGUGAGCAUCCCUAUUUGUCUACACGCUGAUCAACAAUGGAUCGCAGGGGCCUCGUUUCCGCCGAGUGAAUCACGUGCCUCGCUGUCGCUCACGCCCUCUCCCCGUCCACGGGUGAGGUCCGUGCCUUCUCACCGGAGCCUCCUGCAUUCUCUCUUGGGAAAUCCUCACGUUCACCGUUUGCCUAUUUUGGAAACGUCCACAGGUUUGGCAAUAGCUCCUUGCACAUCGAAGGUACAAAUCUCUGUCCGUCUUACCUGUCGGGAGUAUUCUCUCCACCAUUCUUCCCCUUUGCUGGUGGUGUUUCCCUCGUACGUGCAAGGUAGGUGACCCAGCCAGUCACUGGGAAGAGCUGCAGGGCUCUGGCGCUUGGUUGCGGUUUCAUGGUGGCUCCCUGCCCUCACGCCAGGGACCCCGUCCUCCUGGGUCCUCUCCGGGUGCAGCUGGGUCCCAGCCUCAGCGGCGCGGAUGGCCUCAUGCGGGGGUCUGUGCCACGUCCUAGUGCCCAGGGUUGGUGAGCCCGCCAGCGAGCCCAGCCGCCACGCUAGCGAACACCUGCCCAGCUACCUCCACCCCUCCGGUGGCCGUGCAAUGAGAGGCCGCACCUGUCCUUUGAGUACUUCUAAUAACCCCACAAAAGUGACCAAAGAACAGCUUUUAAUAAGUAGUAUAUAAGGCGCUGUACUCAUCUAAGCAGAUCCGCAUCUGCCCUGAGACUAUAUUUGAUGUAUAUAUUCAGCAUUUCCCACCUUCACGUCUCCCUGACCUAAAUUUCGAUGAAGUGGUACAAAAAAUAAGAUUUGAAGAUCCAAAUAUUUUUGACCUAGAGAAAUAUUAAUAGAACUGCCCAUUUGUGUAAGUAUUUCAGAUUAUCCUAGCGGUUUUCUAGUUUAGAACUUCAUAAUCCAGUUUUUCUUCCUAGAUUGAAGUAUACUUGACAUGCAAGGCAUGCGAGCGUCAGGUGCACGCAGCCACCCGACGCUUGGGCCCGUUACGAGGCUCGACCAGCACGUGGCCCCGUCUGUCGCCGCGCGACGCUACGGUCCUUUCCCUGAGAUCCCCUACACUGUGCC